rnacentral:lncRNA from 1 species
CUUGCUGCCCGCCUUGGGGGCCAUGUCAGGGGCUCCCUGGGGGUGAGAGCCGGGCUGGGAGCCGGGGGGCCGUCCCGAUGCCCGCCCUGCGCACGGCAGGAUCUUCCUGUUAGUGCGAGAAGAACAGGAUCGACCUGUGUGAGCAAACAGAGCAAGCCAGUGUCCAGCCUUGCCGAGUCCUCCCCGGGGGCCGACCCGGAAGGCGCCCCGCUCCUGCCCACCCCACCUUCAGCUUGCCACAGCAGUCCUUCCGAUGGUGUCUCAGAGGAGAAUCCCAAGCCUUCCUCACGUCCAUAAGGAUUUGAGCUCUGUCCCUGGGGUGGGAACCUUGUGCCUGACACAGCUGCUAACUCUAUUGACAGAUCGUCUUAUUCUCACCCUAAGCAACUCAGGAUGCCCCUUGGUGUGGCCACUGCAAGGCUCUGGCCCCUGAGUAUGCCAAAGCCGCUGGGAAGCUGAAGGCAGAAGGUUCCGAGAUCAGGUUGGCCAAGGUGGACGCCACGGAGGAGUCUGACCUGGCCCAGCAGUACGGCGUGCGCGGCUAUCCCACCAUCAAGUUCUUCAGGAAUGGAGACACGGCUUCCCCCAAGGAAUAUACAGCUGGCAGAGAGGCUGAUGACAUCGUGAACUGGCUGAAGAAGCGCACGGGCCCGGCUGCCACCACCCUGCCUGACGGCGCAGCUGCAGAGUCCUUGGUGGAGUCCAGCGAGGUGGCUGUCAUCGGCUUCUUCAAGGACGUGGAGUCGGACUCUGCCAAGCAGUUUUUGCAGGCAGCAGAGGCCAUC